ACGGACGUAGCCAAGAGGAUCAAGGCAGUGGAUUUUGAAUCCACCAUGCGCUGGUUCAAUUACCGUCGUUCGCC
rfam:Solanum lycopersicum cultivar Heinz 1706 chromosome 12, whole genome shotgun sequence.